rnacentral:rRNA from 1 species
GACGAACCGUGCGACCGUUGUUCGGAUUCAUUGGGUUUAAAGGGUGCGUAGGUGGAAUAGUAAGUCAGUGGUGAAAGCCUGUUGCUUAACAACAGAACUGCCAUUGAUACUGCUAAUCUUGAGUACAUCUGAAGUGGGCGGAAUGUGUCAUGUAGCGGUGAAAUGCUUAGAUAUGACACAGAACACCGAUUGCGAAGGCAGCUCACUAAACUGUAACUGACACUGAGGCA